AAAAAAAAAAAAAGCUACAUUUUCCAAUUUGUUAAACAAUGCUUAGGAAAACUGUUGAUACAUUUGUUCGGUUUGUUUAACAUAAUUAACUGAGAUUCUAUCAACUUCAAGCAUUUGUUUAUUACAGAAGAGUGUAAAGACAAAAACCGCCUAGCGCAAGCUAGUCAUACCCAGUUGAAAGAAAUCUGCCUAUCCAAAUUCAGGAGGGUAGAAACUUUUCAGGCUCAACCAGACAUGGCACCUAGUCAACUUACAUAACCAUUCCUCCAUCAAUAGUAAACACCUGUCCAGUGAUGUAGCUGGCAGCAGGAUUAAGAGCCAGGAAUUCUACCAAUCCAGCAACCUCUUCCGGUUGGCCAUACCUACCUAAGGGAAUUGUCUCCAAGAUUUUCUUCUCAAUAUCCUCCCCGAGUUUGGCUGUCAUAUCAGAUGCAAUGAAUCCAGGGGCAACAGCAUUUACAUUAAUAUUUCUGCUUGCAUAUUCCUUUGCAACAGUCUUUGUCAGUCCAAUAACUCCAGCCUUCGCUGCACUGUAGUUGGCUUGCCCAGCAUUGCCAACUAAACCCACUACUGAUGCUAUGUUAAUGAUCCUUCCCUUUUUCUUCUUCAUCAUGAUUUUGGCUGCUGCCUGUGUGCAAAGGAAUACACCUGUGAGAUUUAGAUCAAUAACCUCCUGCCACUGAGAUUUCUUCAUUCUCAUCAACAAUGUAUCUCGGGUUAUUCCUGCAUUAUUGACUAGUACAUCAAUGGUUCCCCAUGCAUCAAUAGCAGUUUUCAUCAUUGACUCCACAUCAGCUUCUUUUGAAACAUCACCCCCAAAAGUGAGAGCCUCACCACCAUAAGCCUCAAUCUCUUUGGAAACUUCCUCAGCCUCUUUUGAUGACCUGGCAUAAUUUACCAAGACCUUACAACCUGCCUUUCCCAAGGACAAGGCAAUUGCUUUACCAAUACCUCUAGAAGCUCCGGUCACUACAACAACAGGCGCUUCCAGCUUCUGUGUGGCCUCGGGGCUUGCUGCUUCAGCAGUAGCAACCUGAGCUCUUACGCCAGAGUAACCAAAUGAGCUCCUCGAUCUACACUGGAGGCCCAUGCGAGACUGGAGUUGUCCGACUCCACUAGUAAUCGGAGACCAUUGACGGACCUGAGCGACUCUCUGGUCACCAGAACUUCCAAAAUUCGCAGAGAUUUCGGGGGAUUUGAAUGCAAUGACGUUGGAUCCAGUAACAGAAGCAGCCAUGGCGAGAGCUCCCAAGGGACUCCGAAGAAGAAUCAACGAGGAAGGCGAAGAGAAGAGGAGGAGAGUAUGAGUAAUAGAAGUAGCCAGAGAAACAAAAUUGCUUGGCUUUAGCUUUAUAAGGAGAAAGAAAUACGUCUCCGCUUUCAAUUUGCUUUUCUUGCUUUGGGAGCUCCGGAGACAGGUGCAGUGGCG
rnacentral:misc_RNA from 1 species